rnacentral:rRNA from 1 species
AAGGACCGGCCAACUACGUGCCAGCAGCCGCGGUAAUACGUAGGGUCCGAGCGUUGUCCGGAAUUACUGGGCGUAAAGAGCUCGUAGGUGGUUUGUCGCGUUGUUCGUGAAAACUCACAGCUUAACUGUGGGCGUGCGGGCGAUACGGGCAGACUUGAGUACUGCAGGGGAGACUGGAAUUCCUGGUGUAGCGGUGGAAUGCGCAGAUAUCAGGAGGAACACCGGUGGCGAAGGCGGGUCUCUGGGCAGUAACUGACGCUGAGGAGCGAAAGCGUGGGGAGCGAACAGGAUUAGAUACCCUGGUAGUCCACGCCGUAAACGGUGGGUACUAGGUGUGGGUUUCCUUCCUUGGGAUCCGUGCCGUAGCUAACGCAUUAAGUACCCCGCCUGGGGAGUACGGCCGCAAGGCUAAAACUCA